rnacentral:rRNA from 1 species
AUUGAACGCUGGCGGCGUGCCUAACACAUGCAAGUCGAGCGAGAGACUUCGGUCUCUAGCGGCGGACGGGUGAGUAACACGUGGGUAACCUGCCUCAUAGAGGGGGAUAGCCUUCCGAAAGGAAGAUUAAUACCGCAUAUACUCUUGAUACCGCAUGGUAUUUAGAGGAAAGGAGCAAUCCGCUAUGAGAUGGACCCGCGGCGCAUUAGCUAGUUGGUGAGGUAACGGCUCACCAAGGCGACGAUGCGUAGCCGACCUGAGAGGGUGAUCGGCCACAUUGGAACUGAGACACGGUCCAGACUCCUACGGGAGGCAGCAGUGGGGAAUAUUGCACAAUGGGCGAAAGCCUGAUGCAGCAACGCCGCGUGAGUGAUGACGGCCUUCGGGUUGUAAAGCUCUGUCUUUUGGGACGAUAAUGACGGUACCAAAGGAGGAAGCCACGGCUAACUACGUGCCAGCAGCCGCGGAAAAAC